rfam:Brachypodium distachyon strain Bd21 chromosome 4, whole genome shotgun sequence.
CCUAUACUCCUUCCGUUCCAUAAUUCUUGUCAAAAUCUUACAUGUAUCUAGACACUUUUUAAGAAUAGAUACAUCAAUUUUUGGACAAAUUUUAGACAAGAACUGUGGAACGGAGGGAGUAUCUU